ACGUAGGAGGCGAGCGUUAUCCGGAUUUACUGGGUGUAAAGCGCGUGCAGGCGGUUUGGUAAGUUGGAUGUGAAAGCUCCUGGCUUAACUGGGAGAGGUCGUUCAAAACUACCAGACUUGAGGGCGGUAGAGGGAGGUGGAAUUCCGUGUGUAGUGGUGAAAUGCGUAGAUAUACGGAGGAACACCAGUGGCGAAAGCGGCCUCCUAGACCGAUCCUGACGCUCAGACGCGAAAGCUAGGGUAGCAAACGGGAUUAGAGACCCCGGUAGUCCUAGCUGUAAACGAUGUGAACUUGGCGUCGGUGGGUUUAAAUCCAUCGGUGCCGAAGCUAACGCGAUAAGUUCACCACCUGGGGACUACGGCCGCAAGGUUA
rnacentral:rRNA from 1 species